AUUUCCAUCUACAAAACCCUACAUACAAAAACCUAUAUACAUGAACUUGUGGUUAGAGCUCGACAACUGGUCUCUGUAGCUCUGUUGGUUAGAACGGCAGAGGGCUGCACCGGAAUCACAGGCCCUAACCCUAACCGCUAACCCUAACUCAUAAACAGCGAGACAUGAAUCUAUAUCCUACCAGAGGACCUAUAGAGUAUAGUUGCACUUUUCGCAACUGACCCUGGUUAGGUCUAAAGUCAAGCAAAAGCCCAUUUCAACUCUUUUUCAAGGAC